GCCUGGAUAGCUCAGUAGGUUAAAGCAUGGUGCUUAGAAUACCAAGGUUGCAGGUUCGAUCCCCGUAUGGGACA